AGAGGUAUAGCUGGAUCAUCAGGCAGUUCAAUGUCCAAUUUUCUGAGGAACCUCCAGACUGAUUUCCAGAAUGGUUUUACCAGUCUGCAAUCCCACCAACAAU
rnacentral:pre_miRNA from 1 species